rnacentral:tRNA from 1 species
GGUUGUGGCUCAGUGGUGGAGCACUUGCCUAGCAAGUGCAAGGCCCUGGGUUUGAUCCUCAGCACCA